GUACAUCCAACAUUAUUUCAUAUUCAAAUCAAGAAAACUCCAUAUCAAAUUCAAAUCAUCCAUCGCAUCACAUCAGGUUUACAUAACAAAUCAUCUCAGGAAUACAUUUCCUUACACAGGAAUAUAGAAGGAACAGAGGGAAUAUGCAAUAAGACAAUUAUGGCACAUCCUACAACUUGCCAUCCUACAACAAGAAUUAUAUAACAGGAAGAACUUGCUCUCUCUCGUGAGACUUGCUCCAGCUGCGACAACUUGCCAUCCUACAACAAGAAGUAUAUAACAAUGAACUUCAAGAACAUUACAGGAGCUAAACGCCCAAUCAACGUGAAGUGCUAAAAAAUGCCUUAGCUAGCAUGCAUUCAAAAUUUAGACACUUGACAUAGCCUCAUCAAGCAUGCAAUAAAUUAUAGAAAGUAAACGAGGACCAGACUUUACAAUUACAGACACAUCCAUCAAUCCAUGAGGCAAAAUCAUGUGAAUCCAAAAGGAGAGGCAGGAAGGGAUACCAAUUUUGAUCCAGAGGGUACAUGAGUGUGGCCUUCUUCCGGAAGAGGUUGGCCCUAACGCACCUUGUAUGAGGCGCUGGGAGCUCAUAGAUUGUCCUGGUCAAUGAGCAGGUCCUUGCAUCCGGUCAUACUGCUAGC
rnacentral:lncRNA from 1 species